UGAGGAAUAUUGGUCAAUGGACGAGAGUCUGAACCAGCCAAGUAGCGUGAAGGAUGACUGCCCUAUGGGUUGUAAACUUCUUUUAUAUGGGAAUAAAGUUCAGUAUGUAUACUGUUUUGUAUGUACCAUAUGAAUAAGGAUCGGCUAACUCCGUGCCAGCAGCCGCGGUAAUACGGAGGAUCCGAGCGUUAUCCGGAUUUAUUGGGUUUAAACGGGAGCGUAGGCGGAAGCUUAAGUCAGUUGUGAAAGUUUGCGGCUUAACCGUAAAUUGCAGUUGAUACUGGGUUUCUUGAGUGCAGCAGAGGUAGGCGGAAUUCGUGGUGUAGCGGUGAAAUGCUUAGAUAUCAUGAAGAACUCCGAUCGCGAAGGCAAGUGCCCGGGGAUGCAACUGACGCUGAGGCUCGAAGGUGCGGGGGUAUCGAACAGGAUUAGAUACC
rnacentral:rRNA from 1 species